GGGUCAGUAGCUCUAAUUGGCAGAGCGGCGGACUCCAAAUCCGCAGGUUCCAGGUUCGAGCCCUGGCUGGCCCGCCA
rnacentral:tRNA from 1 species